rnacentral:misc_RNA from 1 species
AACGAUCGCGUUAGCCGUCGUUUCCUCUGCGAAUUUAAUUUAUUCUAUUUUAAUUUAAUUUCAACAAUCAUCUCUGGCUCUACUCUAUUUCCGUUGCUUCGACCUCUCUUAAUAUUCCCGACGAUAUGCAUUUCUGAUCAUCCGAUCUCCCUCGUGAUUCGCGUCGACUUUUAUCUUACCCGCCAGAGUGCAUUGUUGUUGUUGAGGCGCAAUUGAGUGUUUGUUCGAGUGGAAUUGAACGGAUAGACAGAGAGAAGUAGUUUGGUGCCUCCAAUUGCGUGCUGAAGCCGGGGAGAUGUCGGGCCCACUGGAUCGCUUCGCGAGACCUUGCUUUGAGGGAUUCUCAGGAAGUGAUGAAAGAAGAGAGAGAAAAUCUGAUUUUGAAAACUCUG